rnacentral:lncRNA from 1 species
GGGGUUCAGAGAUUAUGCAUGACAAGAUAGCACUCGUGAAGGCGCCCCGACAGGUCUGGAAUGUGGGAGUGAGUGUGGUGGUGAUGAUUAUUGUGCCCCAUUGGCUGGCCAGGGGCGCAUUUUGGCAGGAUUGCCCUCUUACCCAGUGAGGGCUGGGGACCAACUCAUGUUCUUCCUGCUGGGAGAGGCCCAGGCCCCUGGGUGGGGGCCCCACAUUCAGUCCCUGCCUUCCUGAUUCAUCCCAGCUCUCUUGGAGGCCUGAGUCACUUUUUUUCCAGGUGAGAGCUGCCUGUUUGGCAAAUUCCUGGAUUUCAGGGGAAGAAAUAGGAACUCCUGCCCAGGGUUGGUCUUAUGCACAGGUAAGGCAGGCAGCAACCCACGUCUGCCCCAAAUCCCUGCCCUGGCCUGGAAUUCACUCACUUGUCUAUCUAUCCAUGGGGCCAGCCAUUUCUGAGUAAUGAUCUCCAUUCUGAUAUUCAGUAUUUUGCAGUUUGCAAAACACUUUCAAAUACGGGUAGUCCUAUUUUGUGGAUG